rnacentral:lncRNA from 1 species
AGAGCGAGCUGAUCAAGGGGUCGAAAAUGUAGAUAUUUCCAGAUAUUUCACUCUCCGUGGAACAGACCGUGGUGGAAGCUUUAUUGCUGGCAAAAGUGUCCAUAACCAGAGAUAAUUAAACUGUUCUGUGUUCUUUUUCUCUCUUUAUGUCUGCCUGUCUUGUUGUACAUGGAACCUGUCUCACAUGCAUUACUUUAAAAAAAAUGAUGAUGUCUGCUGCUAAUUUUCAGAUUUUACACCACUUAAACACAGCCAUUUUCACUGGACUAUCUGUUGCUGCCAAGUCAUGAAUUCCCUGGGGGUUAGCCUUGCAAUAACCAAGUGGUUAUAUCAGCUGUUUUGGUGAAGACCUCCUGCAUCUGAACUGGCUGACACAGAGGGCACAGCAUGAUCAUAGUGAAGUCCGGCGGGCUUAGAUCAUGUGCUAACAAGACG